UCAUGGCCACCUGAGGGGACAGGAACAGGAUAGGGAAUCUGCGCAUGCUCACUCGCCGGAGGCGGGUGAAAGUCCUGUCUCAAAGAUUUUUCUUUUUGGAAGAAAUGAACAUUUUACUUAAACUUUAGAAGAGAUGAGAAAGAAAACCCACGUUUUCCUGGGAAGCCGUGAGCGAGAGCCGCAGCCCCCACCAAACUCCUCCCCGUUCCCCGCGCCAAACUGUGGAGGAGGCCCGGAAGCAGAAACCGCGGAGAAAACAAAGACCAA
rnacentral:lncRNA from 1 species